GACGAACGCUGGCGGCGUGCUUAACACAUGCAAGUCGAACGGAAAGGCCCUGCUUUUGUGGGGUGCUCGAGUGGCGAACGGGUGAGUAACACGUGAGUAACCUGCCCUUGACUUUGGGAUAACUUCAGGAAACUGGGGCUAAUACCGGAUAGGAGCUCCUGCUGCAUGGUGGGGGUUGGAAAGUUUCGGCGGUUGGGGAUGGACUCGCGGCUUAUCAGCUUGUUGGUGGGGUAGUGGCUUACCAAGGCUUUGACGGGUAGCCGGCCUGAGAGGGUGACCGGCCACAUUGGGACUGAGAUACGGCCCAGACUCCUACGGGAGGCAGCAGUGGGGAAUAUUGCACAAUGGGCGGAAGCCUGAUGCAGCAACGCCGCGUGCGGGAUGACGGCCUUCGGGUUGUAAACCGCUUUCGCCUGUGACGAAGCGUGAGUGACGGUAAUGGGUAAAGAAGCACCGGCUAACUACGUGCCAGCAGCCGCGGUGAUACGUAGGGUGCGAGCGUUGUCCGGAUUUAUUGGGCGUAAAGGGCUCGUAGGUGGUUGAUCGCGUCGGAAGUGUAAUCUUGGGGCUUAACCCUGAGCGUGCUUUCGAUACGGGUUGACUUGAGGAAGGUAGGGGAGAAUGGAAUUCCUGGUGGAGCGGUGGAAUGCGCAGAUAUCAGGAGGAACACCAGUGGCGAAGGCGGUUCUCUGGGCCUUUCCUGACGCUGAGGAGCGAAAGCGUGGGGAGCGAACAGGCUUAGAUACCCUGGUAGUCCACGCUGUAAACGGUGGGUACUAGGUGUGGGGUCCAUUCCACGGGUUCCGUGCCGUAGCUAACGCUUUAAGUACCCCGCCUGGGGAGUACGGCCGCAAGGCUAAAACUCAAAGGAAUUGGCGGGGCCCCGCACAAGCGGCGGAGCAUGCGGAUUAAUUCGAUGCAACGCGUAGAACCUUACCUGGGUUUGACAUGGAUCGGGAGCGCUCAGAGAUGGGUGUGCCUCUUUUGGGGUCGGUUCACAGGUGGUGCAUGGCUGUCGUCAGCUCGUGUCGUGAGAUGUUGGGUUAAGUCCCGCAACGAGCGCAACCCUUGUUCACUGUUGCCAGCACGUUAUGGUGGGGACUCAGUGGAGACCGCCGGGGUCAACUCGGAGGAAGGUGGGGAUGACGUCAAGUCAUCAUGCCCCUUAUGUCCAGGGCUUCACGCAUGCUACAAUGGCUGGUACAGAGAGUGGCGAGCCUGUGAGGGUGAGCGAAUCUCGGAAAGCCGGUCUCAGUUCGGAUUGGGGUCUGCAACUCGACCUCAUGAAGUCGGAGUCGCUAGUAAUCGCAGAUCAGCAACGCUGCGGUGAAUACGUUCCCGGG
rnacentral:rRNA from 1 species